rnacentral:rRNA from 1 species
CCUACGGGGGGCAGCAGUGAGGAAUAUUGGUCAAUGGCCGUAAGGCUGAACCAGCCAAGUCGCGUGAAGGAAGAAGGAUCUAUGGUUUGUAAACUUCUUUUAUAGGGGAAUAAAGGUAUCCACGUGUGGAUAUUUGCAUGUACCCUAUGAAUAAGCAUCGGCUAACUCCGUGCCAGCAGCCGCGGUAAUACGGAGGAUGCGAGCGUUAUCCGGAUUUAUUGGGUUUAAAGGGGGCGUAGGUUGUUUUUUAAGUCAGCGGUGAAAGUUUGUGGCUCAACCAUAAAAUUGCCGUUGAAACUGGAAGACUUGAGUGUGUUUGAGGUAGGCGGAAUGCGUGGUGUAGCGGUGAAAUGCAUAGAUAUCACGAAGAACCCCGAUUGCGAAGGCAGCUUACUAAACUGUGACUGACAUUGAUGCUCGAAAGUGUGGGUAUCAAACAGGAUUAGAUACCCGGGUAGUC